rnacentral:rRNA from 1 species
GGGAACGUGCCUUUAGGUUCGGAAUAGCUCCUGGAAACGGGUGGUAAUGCCGAAUGUGCCCUUCGGGGGAAAGAUUUAUCGCCUUUAGAGCGGCCCGCGUCUGAUUAGCUAGUUGGUUGAGGUAACGGCUCACCAAGGCGACGAUCAGUAGCUGGUCUGAGAGGAUGACCAGCCACAUUGGGACUGAGACACGGCCCAAACUCCUACGGGAGGCGGCAGUGGGGAAUCUUGCGCAAUGGGCGAAAGCCUGACGCAGCCAUGCCGCGUGAAUGAUGAAGGUCUUAGGAUUGUAAAAUUCUUUCACCGGGGACGAUAAUGACGGUACCCGGAGAAGAAGCCCCGGCUAACUUCGUGCCAGCAGCCGCGGUAAUACGAAGGGGGCUAGCGUUGCUCGGAAUUACUGGGCGUAAAGGGCGCGUAGGCGGACAUUUAAGUCAGGGGUGAAAUCCCAGAGCUCAACUCUGGAACUGCCUUUGAUACUGGGUGUCUUGAGUGUGAGAGAGGUAUGUGGAACUCCGAGU